rnacentral:rRNA from 1 species
GUGCCAGCAGCCGCGGUAAUACGUAGGACCCAAGCGUUAUCCGGAGUGACUGGGCGUAAAGAGUUGCGUAGGCGGCUUGUUAAGUGGAUAGUGAAACCUGGUGGCUCAACCAUUCAGACUAUUAUCCAAACUGACAAGCUCGAGAAUGGUAGAGGUAGCUGGAAUUUCUAGUGUAGGAGUGAAAUCCGUAGAUAUUAGAAGGAACACCAAUGGCGUAGGCAGGCUACUGGACCAUUUCUGACGCUAAGGCACGAAAGCGUGGGGAGCGAACCGGAUUAGAUACCCGCGUAGUCC